GUGGGGAAUCUUGCGCAAUGGGCGAAAGCCUGACGCAGCCAUGCCGCGUGGAUGAUGAAGGUCUUAGGAUUGUAAAAUCCUUUCACCGGUGAAGAUAAUGACUGUAGCCGGAGAAGAAGCCCCGGCUAACUUCGUGCCAGCAGCCGCGGUAAUACGAAGGGGGCUAGCGUUGCUCGGAAUUACUGGGCGUAAAGGGAGCGUAGGCGGACAUUUAAGUCAGGGGUGAAAUCCCGAGGCUCAACCUCGGAACUGCCUUUGAUACUGGGUGUCUUGAGUGUGAGAGAGGUGAGUGGAACUCCGAGUGUAGAGGUGAAAUUCGUAGAUAUUCGGAAGAACACCAGUGGCGAAGGCGACUCACUGGCUCAUUACUGACGCUGAGGCUCGAAAGCGUGGGGAGCAAACAGGAUUAGAAACCCUGGUAGUCC
rnacentral:rRNA from 1 species